AGAGUUUGAUCCUGGCUCAGGAUGAACGCUAGCGGGAGGCCUAACACAUGCAAGCCGAGCGGUAGAAGAUCUUCGGAUCUUUGAGAGCGGCGCACGGGUGCGGAACACGUGUGCAACCUACCUUUAUCAGGGGGAUAACCUUUCGAAAGGAAGAUUAAUACCCCAUAAUAUAUUAAGUGGCAUCAUUUGAUAUUGAAAACUCCGGUGGAUAGAGAUGGGCACGCGCAAGAUUAGAUAGUUGGUGAGGUAACGGCUCACCAAGUCAAUGAUCUUUAGGGGGCCUGAGAGGGUGAUCCCCCACACUGGUACUGAGACACGGACCAGACUCCUACGGGAGGCAGCAGUGAGGAAUAUUGGACAAUGGGUGAGAGCCUGAUCCAGCCAUCCCGCGUGAAGGACGACGGCCCUAUGGGUUGUAAACUUCUUUUGUAUAGGGAUAAACCCAGAUACGUGUAUCUGGCUGAAGGUACUAUACGAAUAAGCACCGGCUAACUCCGUG
rnacentral:rRNA from 1 species